UACGAAGGGGGGCUAGCGUUGCUCGGAAUCACUGGGCGUAAAGGGUGCGUAGGCGGGUCUUUAAGUCAGGGGUGAAAUCCUGGAGCUCAACUCCAGAACUGCCUUUGAUACUGAGGAUCUUGAGUUCGGGAGAGGUGAGUGGAACUGCGAGUGUAGAGGUGAAAUUCGUAGAUAUUCGCAAGAACACCAGUGGCGAAGGCGGCUCACUGGCCCGAUACUGACGCUGAGGCACGAAAGCAUGGGGAGCAAACAGGG
rnacentral:rRNA from 1 species